GCCGGGGAGCCCCGACCCUUGGCGGAGCUGUGCCCGCAGUGCCCUGGCGGGGCGGCCCAGCCCGGCGCCUUUCUUUCUCCGUGCCUUUCUGUCGUUCUCUUUUUUUUUUUUUCCUCCCCCCCUCCUUCUCUGCCCCUUCCCGGCGCGUGUUGCAUUGCAGCAGCUGGGCUGCACCCUGCGAGAUCGAUACGGAGCGGGCGGCGGGGAGGGGGAAUCCCCCCUCGGGGGAUCCGCGAUGUAAACAGCGCCGGGCGGGGGCCGCCCGCUCCCACUCGGGACCCGGCUCCGUGCGCCCCAUUCAUUUGUCCCCGCGGCGCUCCCGCCCCGUUCCUCCUCCCGUUUCCGUCGUCCUCUCGUCGGAUCCGGCCCCAGCUGCCCCGCAGCCCCCAGGGGCUUCCAGCCGCUUUGUGUUGCCGAGGCCGGGGGCCCCUCCGAGUGCGGAGAGGUCCGCAGGGUGAGAACGGGUCGAUCCCUCUGUUGCGGCGCUGUGUCCGUUCAUGCAGAAUCCUAAUUACGGGUCUGAACUUCAAGGUUUUUGCUUUUGUUUUGUUUUUCCCCUUUUCCCCGUGUGCCUUCUAUGCCAACGGUAGCACUGCAGCUGGAAGCGGUGGGACGUGGUUUGUCCCUGCCGUUCUGUUGGAAAAUGCUUUCCCGUAUUUCCCUCUCACUCUCUUUGUUAGCCGUAAGCAUUCGCAUGCUCCUUUCGCCCUCGUUUCGCGUUGUGCUGAUUUAUUUUCACCCAUCUGCAUCGCUGUAAAAGCGGGGUGCCCCGCAAGUACAAACUUACAACUUGAGCUCCCGGCUCACACCCGGACCCUUCAAACAUGGGGUGCCCCUGACUCCCUUGGGCAGUCCUUAGCACGGACUUCCACCAUAAACCUUUGGAGAGGGCCAUGUAUUAAUCCAGUUUCUAUGCUGGCAAAGUGUGGUCGGCGCGGAGCAAGGGAAGGUGUCCCAGCACCUUGCUGCUGCUGAAGCGUCUGCCUCAGGACCUCUGGCAGCUGAGAGGCAGUGCAAAUACUUCCCUUAACCGGCAUAACCGGGAAGUGCCUAAGUUGAACCUACCCUUAGGUUGCUUAUUUAGAUGUUGGAGUAGUUGUCUUCAAGCUUCUAGUUAGUGUACGCUAAUGAUCCUGUGCCUGAGUGCAGAAGGUGAAGCUGGUGGAAGGGAGACGGUGUUGGGAGUUGAAUGGGCGCGCUGAGCUGUCAUUGGGUAUUUGGGAAAAAUCUGACUUUAAAGGCUUGAUUGCAGGGCUCCUAUUAAAAAAAAGCAAGCUGUACCAAUUAAACUGCACAAGUUAAGAAAAUGAUGUGGUUAAAGCAGCGUUUUCUCUCUAUAGAGGCACUAUUAAAUUGUCUUGGUUUUGUUUAAUUGCUCCAACUCCAGUACAAUAGCAGGCUUUCACUGCACGCUCUCCCUUUGGACUUGUUUAGACUAGGAUUGACGCUGUAUUUCUGAGACAUGUUCAAACCAAUAUCUGCACACCCUGCUACGCUUGGGCAAUGUGUUUUAAUGGGUGUUUGCUGGUCAAGGUAAGUCCUGAUGGGGAGGAGCGAGAGAGUGAAUAGGGAAAGCAACCGGUGCUUCAGAUAUAGGUUCUGUUCUUGUAGGUGUUGCUGAGAAUAGGUUUUUACAUGAUGUUGAUGGUUUCCUGAAAUGCAUAAACUGCAUUCUGCUAUUGCUGUUCUGUAGGUAAGUAUGCAGUUGGUGCUCCGGUUAUCAUAUAAAUAAAUACCAGAAGUAAUCCUGUGGUGAGCUGCAGCCCUCCCCCAGCCCAUAACUUUUGUUUCUGUUAUGUCCUUUGGCCUUUUACAUAUGUGAGGGCCUAAUCUUCAGUCAUCUCAAGCCUGAAAUAAUUAUGAUGAUUUGAUGUUCAGAUCUCACAUUUUGUCUGGGCUGCUUAGGUGAUCAGUUACCAAAGAGCAAACUAGUUUUCCUUGUGUUAGAUCCAACUAAAUAUAGUUGUCGAGAGCUUCUUCAUAGCAUGAAGUAACCAACAAUAAGGUAGGACGCAAACAUCCAUCAGCACAUGUUGACCAGAGGAAUUCCUGUGGUAGUUUGUUCUCUAUCUGAAUUAAAAUGAAAUGCUCUUUGGGCAGUAUCUGCUGAGGCUUCUGGUUGCUGACGAACUUUUAAUAUUAGUAUUCCAGUUAAGAGAUGAGGAACUUGAUAUGAAGUUACUUGCUUUGGGACACAACUUGACUAGCAGCUUCCCCCCUAGCUUUGAGUAAACAGUUGAUUUUCAUUAACACUUGUUCCUCUUAUUGUAUUGUAGUUAGCUGAGUACUGCCCUGAAGAUAGUUUCCUGAGUGCACAGUACAAUAGGUGUCCAGGGAUAGGUAUAUUUGGUGGGGUUUCAGCUUUGAUCCAGCUGGGUUGUGGUGAUGGUGUGGGAAAAAGUAGUUAAAAUAUAAAUAACAGCAGAAUUUUGUGCCCCGGUUCUAAGAACAGUAUAACUUCCCAUCAUAUUUAUACAAGAAGCUCAUCUGUAAACAAGAUGACAUUGAAAGAUGUGUGGAAAUCUGCAUUAUGGAAGCUGAGGAACAAAAUGGUGUAGAAUUGGGAUUCUGCAGCGGAGGUUGACAGAAUGCUUUUAAAGAUGCUCUCUUGUUGUUUGGCGUCUUGCUCAUUUUGUAUGCUAACUCCAAUAAAAAUAAAUGAGCUUUCCAAGAUGCUGACUUCUUUUUUUUAAUCAAUCUGUACAGCUUUCUCUUGGGGUUUCCACAUCCAUUUCUUUGUGUGGGAAAGAAUUGUUUUUCAUUAGUGUGCUAGUCAGAAAGCAGACUGCUUAAUCUGGUUUCAUUACUCAAGUUUCGGGAACUGGGAAAGAAACAGCAUUUUUUUGUUUAGAAUUUUAAAUCCGAGCGUUUCCAGAGCUCAGUGUAUUCAUUUGUGUUUACGAUGGGCUAUUAUGCGUAUUGUAUGUGUGAAUGUUCGCUCUAUAUUUAGAUAGGGCAGGCAGCUAAAUUACUGCACAUCUUUUUUUCUUUCUAGAAAAUGGUGUCAUAUCCUCAGUUGUGUUUUCAAAAUAAGAAGUGAAAUUUGUGGGCUUUCAUAUUGAAAUUUCUCCUCGCAUCGAGUAGCUUUUCUGCUCAAGUAUGUUGCUCUAGGAUAUAAUUAAUGUUAUUUAAAAGUCAGCCUAUUUAGUGCCUGGGUUAGUAAGCCUUCAUUAUGCUUUAAGUGUUGUGCUAAGAUGUCUGAUACCAUGCUCAGUAUCAUCUUUAAUAUACGAGUGAGAGCGCGUGGCAGAAGUAACAACACAUGUACCUCCAUUAGAGCUGGGAAUCCUUCAAGAAUCCCGUGUACAUUUCAUGGGGUUUCUAGAACAACAAGCAUAUAAGAGCACACUAUUGGUGGUGACAGUAGUAUGUCGUUCAGUCUGCUACAGCAACUGCUGUUACUUAAGGUAAAAUACCAGCGUGGAAGAAGCCAUCAAUCUGAAUGUUACACAUCACAAUGUGGGGUCAUACUUUGGAAUGUUGCCUUUAUUGUAGCCUCGGUGCUUGCACAAACAGUGUAUUUGAAGUAGAAAUCUUAAUUUGCUUCAGAAAUUCCUGACAAAAUGUUGGAAGUGGGAGCAGGCAGUUGAUUUAUGUUGGGUGCACAUAACUGCAACCAGUGCAGGUCCUAAAAUCGCUUGUGUGUCAAGAUCAGAAUUGGAGGUGUGGGCAGUUUGAUUCAGGUGGAUACAAGAAUUCAGGUUUCUUUCCUUGUUCUUAAGUAAACUACCAGAUGGAGUGAGUCAUCUGUCUGGUAGAAGUGCAGACGGUAGCUAGCACUUUAUUAGUGACAAUAGAAAGUCAUCUUUGGACUGGUUGUUUCUGCCCACCUGAUAUGGGAUCUGACAAUUGUUUUGCCCUCAAGGUCUAUGGAUCGAGUUCAGUGAAUUAGUUUGAUAGUAAAAGCGUAAGUCUUUAAAAGAUUACUGUGUGAAUGGAGGAUGCAUGAAUCAGAAUGCAGGGUUUUUUUCCCCUCAAAAAAGCUAUUUAUGACCAUCUUACCAAUUAUGUUGUCAGUGUGUGAAGAUUAGGAAUGGUCUUGGCAGUAUGUAGGACUCAGGAAUGCUCUCUAGAAGGGAACAGACACAAGUCUUGUCUUGACUCUCACUCAGGGCUUCCUCUUGGCUCAUAGCGGAGACCAGGUCGCUUGGUGUCCUACUUCAGGCUGGUGUUGUGUGGAAGCCUUUCUUCUACUCUUCCAUACAAAGAAUUAUUACUGUUUCAGAACCUGUUUCAGUGAAUGCCUUCCUAACACGCUUAUGCCCAAAGUGAUGUAUCUGCCCUGCAUUAGGCAUGGGAUUGGAAGUACUUAGUAAUGAGGAGUGCUUCUUGCCAUGCCAGAGCAAUUCAUGCAGAACUAUAGUAGAAGCAGGUUAUUGAAUUGCUGGAUAGAGUCAUUUGCUUUCAUUAUUAGAGAGCAAAUGUAUUUUCUGAGACUGAUAUUAUUCUCUUCUUUACUGUGACCUUUCUUCAGGAAUUGCUCUUGACGGUUCGUGCCUGCUUCCGCUCAGCGGGGUAGAAAUACGUGUGCCAGCUCCCUGAGCAGCCACACAGGUUUAGGUUCUAAGAGUGCUUUAGUGCUUAGAGAAUGCAAAAGAUAUCAUCUUUUUAUGUUGGAUUGAAGGGUAGCUAAAAGUAAAUGUAUCGGAGACAGAAAUCUUACAAGCCUUGUUGAGUAGCCUCAAUACAUUUAAGUAACUUUUGCUGAUGCCUGCCUCCACUUGAGCACUCGCCCUUCCCUUUCCCUGCCAGUCCUUGUGAAUUGUACAGCACUCUUGUGUUCUUCGGCUGCUGGCAUCUGCCUUGGGACUGAUACAGGGGCACAGCCACUUUUCUGUCUGGCACUGCUGAGAUCUGAUGCUGGGUCUUCAGUGUCUCUCCUUGCCUUCGUUUCCCGCGUGCUCUCACAAAUCUGGAGAAUAACCAAUGUUGUGUAUAGCUCUAUUUUUGUUCAGUAGCAUACAGAAUCUUUUUUUCCCCCUCUUAGAAAUGACUGCAACACUAUUUUUGCUCUCACGUUUUCUAACUUAAAGAAUAAAAAUGCCUAUCUCAGUAAUGGACUCAGUUUUGCCUUGUUUUAAAGUGCUUUAUGCCAGUGCAUGCUUUAGAUGAAAAUGCUCGGUUUUAUUUCAGCUAGUUCUAAUUAAUCAACCUGACAAUUGGUAACCCCCCCCCCCCCCCCAUCCAAGUGUCAGUUGUUCCAAGUAUUCCUUUCCUACAGCUGUUUAUCAGUGGGCGAAGACAGAAUUUCUCAAGAGAACUGAAAAUCCUACAUGUUGCUUUCUGACAGCGUCAUGCACUGCUCUGAAUCUCACUAUUCUGUGGGCAUUAGAUUGCUUGUCGGUUUGCUUUAGAUGGGGUUUUCCUGUGGAACUGCUAGUUUUAAGUACGUCUUGAGAAUCAGUGUGUAAGUCAGCACAAGAAGCUGAAGUAAAGUCCCAUUGCCCACCAUGAGUUAUCUAUAGACAGGGUUUACUUUAUGGAGACAAACAAAAUAACCCAACAACAAACCAACUCCAAGUUCAAUAUUCAGGCCAAAAAAAUCUGCUCUUAGUGUCAUGUAUUGAGCAUCCUGCAGGCUAAGCUUACUUACUGCUGCAGUCCAGUCCCAAACUAGGAUGCUGCUCUGUAAAGUUCAUGGGUUGGUGCUGUGGCUUUUGUUUUCUUGCUUUGUUCAUGUUCUUGUUUUUCAAAUGAUGGUGAAGGUGCUGAUACCCGGCAAAGUAUGGGGGAGGGAAGUGGAAGCUGAUUGCCCUUUGGAGCGUGAUACAAAAACGUUAUUUUGUUGGACUGAUGAGCUGCCAGAAAUAACUUUCAGCUCCCUGUUUGCAGCACAGACAAAAUUGGAGGGAUUUCGUUUCAAAUGUUCUGUUAUUCUUCUGUUCUUCAUGAACAGGAACCUCUUUUCAUUUUCUGGAACCAGACUGCAAAGUGAUCUAUUCCUAUUGCAAAUUACAUAAAGAAGGUGAGCUUUGCUGGCUCUGUGGUCUCAGCAUAUUAGCCACCUACUUCAGAAAGAAGAAAGUAGCAGUUUAAAAACUGAAUUCAACAGAAUAAUGUAGUUACAAGAGUAAUCAUUAUUGCUGAAGCCUUUGUUAUACCUUAAUUACGGUUUUAUAGCGGCUAAAAGAAGUAUUUUAUUUCUAAAAACCAGGUUCUGACUGUGUGUUCCUUAAAUGGUAUCCUGAACUAUAGUUUAAUACUUAGAUUUCUUUAGACCAUGUGCUGCUGUCCUCCCUUACUUUAUUGCAGGUUACUGUACGCGGACAACAGGUUUGUAACUGAAACGCUUUGAAGGUCGUGUAGUUACAGGAGUGUUUUAUCUUGGUCUCAUCAGGCUUGAGCUGCUGGUAAAUGCUUUAGUAUUUCAGUUCUGUAGACCAGUGUGUCUACACGCUGGUUCAAUCUAUUAGUGUUGUGUAUAUGUGGAGACUUCCAUUUAAGUUGCAUGGUUCUUACUGUAUAGCAUCAGAAAUGGAAAUACACUGAAAUGGAACACAGUGAAACUUUGCUGGAAGACUUGCUGUUAAUUACAUUUGCAAAACACAUUUUCUUUUUAGAAAACUGCAGUUAGCUACUGUUGAUUAAGUAAAAAUGAACUUUACAGUUUCAAAAUGAACACUGUUAUCCAUUGUCUGAAAUAAAUGGUCUGGCUGGACUUACAGAACAGUGAAAGGUAGUCCAAAUGAACCUCGUUAUGGCAGAGAUGAUAAAGUAGUGAAUGACAGCACUGAUAAGAAAGUGCUGCUGACUCCUGCAGCUUUUGCCUGUGUAAGUCCAAUCCAGUAAACUCACUUAGAUUGGGACAUGAAUAGUUUGGUCAUGGUUGUCUACUUGUCUAGUAAAAAUACUGAUUUGUUAUUGGCAAUUAAGUUUAGCGGUUUUCUUUUCUCUCACAAUAUUCCUGCUUUCAUAGAAAAUAUGAGGCAAUAGUUGGAAUUUAAGAAACUAUUAUUGUAUCACAUUUUGUAGCCUUGUUGAGGGACCUCUGAGGAUGUGAAAGGCCUGUCCAGUUCACUGCUCUUCUGGCCGGUGGAAGGUCAGAGGAGUACAUUAAGAGGUUAACCUUGAAAAGAUAGCUGGGAAUCUGUGUCUAAGCGGGAGUAAAAGGAAGAACAGAUGAAUAACUAGAGCGCGUAUAAGUUAUUGCUAAUAAAAUAGAGCAGAAGUUGUAUCUAGCACUUCACCUGCUUCUUCAGUGUCGCAUAUUUUGGAGCAUAUUUGAGAACGAGGCCUUUAGAUGCCUUGAAUUACCUGGUUAGAUUUUUUAAACUACUGACUAGGAAUGCAAUCAUGGGUUUUAGAUGAAAACUUUGGCAUUUUGAUGUAAGAUUUAGGAUGAAGAAAAGGAAGAAAUAGUACAUAAAAGGUAUAUUGCGUUUUGCAAUUUCAAGGUCCUGUGGUAUGUCGUGAGGGAUUGUGGCAGUGCCAUUGUUCCUUCCUCCUUCUGCUUUCCACAGUACAGCAUGGUGAAUCUUAGUAGCCUUUUGGUUAGUGACCAACUCAUUUAACUGCUUCAUAUGUGCAUUACUCCCAGACCCAUUGCUGCUGGACCUAACAUCUGACCUUAGACCUAUGCUAUAAAUCGAGGGAGUUUCUACUUUUGUAUUCUGGGAUUUCACUGUGUAUUUUGCCAGCAUCUUAGACUAGUCCUUUUAUAGAGUUUGGAAGAAAAGCAUGUCUAGGCCUUCUUGGUUUGAUGUACUCUAAAGGCAGCUUUGAAAAUGCUGGAUACUCCUGUACGUUUUCUACUUGCUUUACAUUUCUUAAGUGAUAGACGGUGCUGCUGCUGCCACUGUUUCCAGCAAUAGAUCAUCCACAAAUGGAUGGCACUAAGAUAAACACAAAGGUUGUUCUGCAGGUUGAGUACUGUUGCUGUAGCUGCGUCGCUCUGAGUGUAUAAACAAGACAAAAGGUUUUAUAAGGAGAGGCAGUAUCUUUUAUUAGGUUGACUGCCGCUUUGAUGGGCAGUGGGAUGCACAUUCAAGUGCUCUGUUCUUGGGUAAGUUGCUCAGUUCUUUGGAGACAGCAUGAAGAGAUCUUGUAUUGUAGGGGUUGUUGCAGGAACGUUGCAAAUACAAGUAGACCAUUGUGGUCUUUGGUGGUUGUUUUUUUUUUAUGGAUAGCUCAUAAUUUUGAUGCAAAACCUCAUAGCAGUAUUUAGUGGAGUUCUUAGAUAAAAAACAUGAAAAGCAAGUAAGCGUCUGUAGUAUCCUAUUGAAAUUAUCAUUUGUUUUUCCAAUUUCUCUGCAAACAAUGUCUGCAUAAAGGAAGUGGAGAUGGUAUUCCAGAGAUGGCCACCAGUAUGACGGCAUAUAUAUAAAUCUGUAAGUUGCAGGUAAAAAGGAGUGGAUUGUGUUGCAAGGAUUGGAUCUUAAGACUUACCUCAUGGUUAAUAAUAAUUAUUUUUGCCCUGUAUUGUAUGAGAUGUCCUUAGCUGUUAUGAACUGGUGAGGGUGUAUAAGCUUGCUUGUUAAUGGUAUGUUUUAUGCUAUCUAGGCCUGGAGGCCUUGUUUCUCUUGAACUCGUAGGUAAAUUGCACUUACUUUGUAGUAGAAGACAGCGCUGUUAGCGUAACUUCUAGGAAUCCUUUCAGUUUGGAUGAUUUAUUUAUACCCUGUCAGCAUCCCUAUGUUUGAACUCUUGCAUUUCUUCCUUCAGCGUUGAGCUGAGCUCCACACAUGUCUGCAGUUUGGUUUGUAACUCAGGGGAGCACCAUGGCCUUUCCUCAGAAGGGGCAAGGUUGUUUAAAGAAAACAAAACCUACCACCAGCACCAAAAAUACCAGAGGAAAUUGUUUUUCCGUAGCUUAAUAUUCCUUAUGAGGUUACCAUUUCCCAACCAGUGAUCACAGUUUUCCCACUUUUAGGGGAGGGGGAAGAGAUUUUAUGCAGUUCAUAUCAUCCAAAACUUCAAGGAGGAGCACAAUGUAGAGAUGUUUGCACACAGUUUUGCUUCAGAAUUCAUAGCAGACCUUAAGAAGGCCUUAGUCUGAGUUUGUUUUCAUCUUUCUGAAAACCAGUCCCGCAACAAACAAAAACCCCACCAGCAAAAUGAAGCAAAGCUAUUUGGAAAUAAAGCUGUCGGCUUUUCUUCUAGAACUUGAGAGCUUUUAUUUUUGUAUAUAGUAGGGCAAAAAUCUGACAUAAAGUGCUGAGAGUGUUCCAUGCUGGAGAACAAAGGUCUUAUGCAACUAAAGAGCUUUUGCAUGGACACGACUAUGGAAUUAAAAUACUGCUUUGCCUCACACUGUAUUUUCUCUCGGCAGUGCCAUGUAUUGCAUUUGAAUACACAGAGUUGCUUUGAUGUAAAAGAGACCUGGUGCUGAGUCUCAUCUCCUUGGUUAGAUUGGUGGCGAGGGCCGUGUUUAUGCUGUGGAUGUUCUGUUUCUCAGAAUGACUGGGGUUAAUUGUAGCUUGGCAAGUAAAAAAAAAAAAAAAGUUCCAUAUUGUUUUUCUGCAGUGGAUUCCUGUUGCUAUGCAACAAACAGAAUGUCACUUAGUGCAGGAUAUAUUAAAUUUGUAUUCCCUGCACAUAUCUCCGAACGCUCAUUUUUGUACUUUAACAGGAGGGUACGUUUCUGACUUCCUGUAGGACUGUAGUAUGAAGCAUAUAUUUGAGCUUCUAUUCUGGUGCUUGCUGUAACUGUGGAUACGUCAGCGUGCUUGCAUAGCCUGCCUUUGUUUUUAGAUGCAUGGGGCACCUGUGCAACGCAGUCAGACAAAAAGGGUGAUGGUUAUGUUCCCGGGGGUGGGAUGAUAUUGCCAAGCAACAUGCUAAGACUUCAAAAGGGAGAAAUUUCUGCUGUGGAAAAACCUCAGGCUAUGAAUUCUAAAAGCCUUUAAACGUGAUACAGAGAAAGUUAGUGCAGGUAGCACUACACGACUCUUCAUUAAAAAUGAACUGUGUUUUUUUUUCCUUAGAAUUAUCUUUGAUAUUUAAAAAUGUUGACACCCCCCUUCCCUGCCACAUCCACGUUCCCCCCCCUCCCUGUUCCAUCUGCAGCACUGAGGCCAACCAGUUCCAGCAUCUGGCCUCUUUGCGUUCACUCUGGAUGGAUUCUGGAAUAAAUGUUUAAGAUGUGCUUGGCAAAAUUAUGUUCUAUGACCGAAAGCAGUAAUUAAGUAAUGGGUAAAUGACAACAACUGGUUAGAUGCUUUUUCAUAAUGAAGUUAGACUUUCAUAGUGGAAAAGAAGUUAAAAUAAUAUUUGAGAACUGGAAGGAUGUUAAUUUUACCCGUCCUUCUAAAUUCUGGGAAUUUCGGUGUAGAUCUUGAAAGCGAGCUUAUAAAAUCUGAGCCCGAAAUUAAGUUAGAUAUUAAAAUAAGCAGGUCAAAUAGUGUCCUUUCUGCUCUUAGGAUUGAAAUAUACCAUUACCUAACAUCUCUUUAAACUGUCAGUCCGAAGCAGGUUUGUCAGUGCGUGGUUUUUUUAUUACAGACUUAUGUAUCUGGCUUCUUGAUAAGUGCAGAAGUCUAAAUGAAGUUAGGAAAGAUCAGAAAUACACUGCAGUGCUGUUCUGUCUCGUUUUUCCAAGGAGGUGCCUCUAAUGGAGCAAGCGGCCCCUAAUAAUACCAUUUACUUCCUUGUAGACCACUGCUUAAUUCAGGGCUUGGUGCUUGAGCGUUGCGGUUGUGUUCUCAGGCCAAACCAUUUCUUCGUGUGCUUCAAAGAGAACAUGAUGCAACCUAAAACACUCUCAUGGCAAUCUAUAUUUGGUGAGGCUAAACUGGAGCUCUUUCAUAGAGAAUUGAUGCAACAGCACAAGGGGAGGUGCUUCAUUUUCUUUCUUUUUUACUUUUGUUGGUCUUGUUUAGGAAGAUAAACCCUUGUUUCUGUUCCAGAUCUAUCUGAUACAAGUUGCAGAGCUAGCUGUGGUUUUUAACAUUGUAAUGGCUUUUUUUUAGUGGUGUCCUUUGGCAUGAGAAACUGUAGGAACCUGUGAAAACUGCCUCUUCUUCCCGAGGAUGCAGCGUGUGUUAUUGUGUGGGGGAAGAAGUUUAGUUGUGAUCUACUUGAUCUGUAACUUUAAUGAAAUUACUUCAUCUUAACGUGUAGGAUGGAGAAGGUCUCCAGUACGUGCAGGAGAUUGGGAAAUGUGAGUUGCAAGGUAGGUUAUUUAGGAAACUCUUAGAGGAACUCCAGUUGGGAAAUGGGUCUACUAAAGCUACUCUCGGUGUAUAGACAAUAAUAAUCAAUAGACAGCACUUGAAGUUCAAUGGACUCAUGUUUUGAAACAUUUGUUUUAAUCUUGAGGCAUUUGAAGCACCCCUCUAGUAUUUGACCUUGAAUUUAACUAUAAUGUUGUUGAGAUAAUAUUUUAACUGCUGUCAUUAUGUAGCCCACCCCUCUCCUUUUUUCUCUCUAUGACUAUUGAAAGCUGUGAUUUGUGCUGAUCCAGGAACUAAAGAAAAAUUCCACAGGAAUUUUCCAGGGAGGUUGGAAAGUCUGUAAUGAAAGGGGACUGCUGGAAGAGAGGAUGAUUUCAUGGUCUCUGCUCAGUGUUUUCUGGAAGAACCGACUGCUGCUUCUGCAUUAAAGAGAUUCUGUCCUUUGGUGUUGGAUGGAUGAGUUGUUCAGAGUUGUCAGGAUGCUCAUUAGUUCUGUCCCGACUUCUUUACUUAUUGACUAACUUGAGGCUGUGGGGCCUAAUCUUUCAAAGCGUUAAAUAAUUUAGCAUGUUCUCUAGUCCUUCAAAGCACAGAAAAAGUGAUAUAGCAGAGAAAGCAUUAUACAGCCACUGAAGGGAAAGAGACCAAGAGCAUCCUCGAUUGAUUGAGAACAGAAGAUUGGUGCAGUUACCAUCCUUUGGCUCUUCAGUGCUGGCAACAACUUUCUCUCCCAACCUUUGCUAGCAUUUGCUAGCAUAGCUGGGUUCAAUUUAGAACUUUGCUAAUGCAAUAUUUGAUGAUGCUGUGUGUAACCCACAAAUAAAUGUUGAAUUUGGUAUUCGGAA